GGUCCCCGGGGAGCCGGGAGGCAGGACGCUCAGCAGGUGCGGCUGAGCACGCGGCAGGAGCAGGCGCUGCGGAAGAAGCGGCACUGGCAGGAGGCGCACGGGUCGCAGCAGGCGGGUGACGGUGGCCAGCAGCUCUUGGAAACGCUGGGGCUGCCCGAGACGGCCACGGCCGCCCCACCCGUCCUCACCUCUGCCUGGCAACUCCUUGAGGGGAUCCCACGCAGCUCCACACUUUAAAAAAACUACCAUCUCUGGCGUCUCCCUUCCAGUUGCGCACAAUCCCUGCAGUUCUGCCUUCACAGUCAAUCCGAGGUUCACCCACUUCCUCACCACCUCUGCUACCCUGGGGCCCUGGUUAUCUUCUGUCUGCUGUCCUGGUUUCCUGACAGCCCACCCUCCAGUGCACCAAAGGGACCUCUCCUAAAACCUAUGAUGGCAUCUACUCUGGCCUAAACCUCGCGGUGGUUUUCUUUGCAGCUAGAAUGAAACAAACGACUUGGCCCUUGAGGCCCUCUGUGGUGGACCCGCCCACCUUUCAGACCUAUCUGCCGCACUGCCUUGCUGGCCUGCUUUCUGUGCAUGGAAAAUGAGUUCCUGCUGCAGGGCCUUUGAGCUGGCCGCCUCCUUCCUAGGGACAGUGCUGCUCAAUACAGGUAGCCACUAGUCAUAUGUGUAUGUGGCUCCUGAGUACUUGAAAUGAGUCUAGUGCAACUGAAGAACUGAAGCUUCAAAUUUUAUUUAAUUUUAAUUAAAACUAGUGUAAAAUUUUUUCACUAAAAACUUUGUUAGGACUACAUUUGACUUAAACUGUUAAACAGUAGCAUUGGAAUUGAGAUGUGCUGUAAAUGUAAAAUAUACACCAGGUUUCAAAGAGUGCAAAAAAAU